rnacentral:RNase_P_RNA from 1 species
AAAGUUUGACAGACAAUCGCUGGCGGCGGCAGCCGCGAGAGGAAAGUCCGGGCUCCACAGGGCAGGAUGCUGGAUAACGUCCAGUCGGCGCGAGUCGAAGGAUAGUGCCACAGAAAUGGACCGCCGAUGGCCGCUUCAUGGCGGCACAGGCAAGGAUGGAACCGAGGUGUAAGAGACCCCGAGGAAUGCUGGUGACUUCAUUCCUGGUAAACCCCAUCUGGAGCAAGACCUAAUGGGACACAGCUUCUUCACGGAAGCAGCCUUAGCCCGAGGUGUGUCUGGGUUGGUCGCUGGAGCUGUUCAGUAAUGGAUGGCCUAGAUAGAUGAUUGUCGCUUUAUAGUGGAAGGGUAGUUCCCGUUAGGACCACAACGAGCACAGAACCCGGCUUACGGAAGACUUUCCUA